rnacentral:tRNA from 1 species
GGAGGGGUACCGCAGUGGCUGAACGGGGCGGUCUCGAAAACCGUUAUAGGGCUUGCCCUAUCGUGGGUUCGAAUCCCACCCCCUCCG